rnacentral:rRNA from 1 species
GUGGGGAAUCUUGCGCAAUGGGCGAAAGCCUGACGCAGCAACGCCGCGUGCGGGAUGAAGGCCUUCGGGUUGUAAACCGCUUUCAGCAGGGACGAAAAUGACGGUACCUGCAGAAGAAGCUCCGGCUAACUACGUGCCAGCAGCCGCGGUAAUACGUAGGGAGCAAGCGUUGUCCGGAUUUAUUGGGCGUAAAGAGCUCGUAGGCGGUUUCGUAAGUAGAGUGUGAAAAAUCUGGGCUUAACCCAGUGGAGGACUCGAGACUGCGAUGACUUGAGUCUAGUAGAGGAGUGUGGAAUUCCUGGUGUAGCGGUGAAAUGCGCAGAUAUCAGGAGGAACACCAACGGCGAAGGCAGCACUCUGGGCCAGUACUGACGCUGAGGAGCGAAAGCGUGGGGAGCAAACAGGAUUAGAAACCCGGGUAGUCC